UAAUUUUUAUUUAUAAUUUUUUUCCUUUCAACCAAACAACCGUCGUGGAAAACUACUUUUCUUUUCCUACAAACCAAACACGUAAAAUAUUUUUUCCACCGAAAAUUUUUUUUCCACAGUUUUACGUGGAACCAAACACAUUAGCUAAAAGUUUAUUAAAUUAAUGCUCUAUAGUUAUUAAUUAUUUUAAAUUUAUUUUAUAAAAAGUGAUUAUAAGUAUUAAACUUGAUUGAAUUAUCAAUGAGUUUGAUAAAGUCCCCAAUUUAUUUUGGAGGUAAAAAUAUAUGGUCUUAGAUAAUGUGAAAUAGCUAUUAUUCUUUGAAGUUAAGGUAUUAGAGAACAAUAUUUUAAUAUUAUAUAUUCAAGAAAUUCUCUCAUGUUUGGGCUAGAGAUAUUAUGGCAUGCUCAAAAUGUCGACUUAAAUUAAAUGAUAGAAAAUUAAAUAAGAUUAAUUAAGAGUCUAAUGAGAUUUGAAUGAAAUAAUUAUUUAUUUUUAAAAAUUGGGCAAACCUCAAAUACCACCUCCGUGGUUUCGUACUUUCUCACUUUAGAACCCUGUGGUUUAAAGUGUAUCAAUUUAAUACCCUGUGGUUUCUUUUUUUUUUUUUUUUUUUUUUUUUNNNNNNNNNNNNNNNCUGGUUUUUUUUUUUUUUUUUUUUUCAUCAGCUCCUCUGUUAACAUUUUAUUAAAUUAUAUACAAAAAACUUCAAAUACUGCACCUAGGUUUAUCGAAUAUUCAAUUUAGUAUCUUUUAAUUUUAACUUUGUUACUGAUUUAACGAAAAAAAAAUAGUAGAAGGGAUAAUAAAAAGAAAAAAAUGAAAUUACGAGAUACUAAAUCGAUACAUUACCAAAGUGAGGAAGUGUAAAAUCACAGAUAUAAUAUUUGAAGUUUUUCCUUAAAAAUUUAAGCUUCAAUAGUUUUUAAUAUUAUUCAUAUAUCAU
rnacentral:lncRNA from 1 species